GCGCACGGGUGAGUAACGCGUAGCCAACCUUCCCGCAACUGGGGAAUAACCUUGCGAAAGUAAGACUAAUACCCCAUGGUCUCCACGGAUGGCAUCUGAAAUGGAGUAAAGGUUCCGGCCGGUUGCGGAUGGGGAUGCGUCCGAUUAGCUUGACGGCGGGGUAACGGCCCACCGUGGCAUCGAUCGGUAGGGGUUCUGAGAGGAAGGUCCCCCACAUUGGAACUGAGACACGGUCCAAACUCC
rnacentral:rRNA from 1 species